rnacentral:rRNA from 1 species
ACUCCUACGGGAGGCAGCAGUGGGGAAUAUUGCGCAAUGGGGGAAACCCUGACGCAGCGACGCCGCGUGAGCGAAGAAGGCCUUAGGGUUGUAAAGCUCUGUUUUAAGGGACGAAUGUCACCUUAAGUAAUAUGUAAGGUGAAUGACGGUACCUUAAGAGGAAGCCCCGGCUAACUACGUGCCAGCAGCCGCGGUAAU